rnacentral:rRNA from 1 species
CCUACGGGAGGCAGCAGUGAGGAAUAUUGGUCAAUGGGCGAGAGCCUGAACCAGCCAAGCCGCGUGAGGGAAGACUGCCCUAUGGGUUGUAAACCUCUUUUGUCGGGGAACAAAAGUCUGGACGUGUCCCUGACUGCGUGUAUCCGAAGAAAAAGCACCGGCUAAUUCCGUGCCAGCAGCCGCGGUAAUACGGAGGGUGCGGGCGUUAUCCGGAUUUAUUGGGUUUAAAGGGUGCGUAGGCGGUCCGUUAAGUCACCGGGAAAAUUGCGGGGCUCAACCCCGUAGAGCCGUGGAAACUGGGAGCCUUGAGUUGGCGAGAGGUACGCGGAAUGCGCGGUGUAGCGGUGAAAUGCAUAGAUAUCGCGAAGAACUCCGAUUGCGAAGGCAGCCUACCGGAGCCAGACUGACGCUGAGGCACGAAAGCGUGGGGAUCGAACAGGAUUAGAUACCCUGGUAGUC